rnacentral:tRNA from 1 species
CAUAUAGUAGCUCAAUAUAAAGCAAUGGUCUCUUAAACCACAGAUAGUAAUACUCUUUAUGAU